rnacentral:tRNA from 1 species
GUGGCAGCAGCUGAGUGGUUGAGCUCUCGCUUUGUACGCGGGAAGACCUGGGUUCGAUUCUUGGCUGCCUUC